AUAAAAUUCUAUUAGAAUGAUUUUUCCCCCUCCGCUCUUUAAGAAAUAUAAGAGCAUUUAAUAUACUUGGGGGAAAUAUGACAAUUAGGACUGGAAUGGUUUGUUCUAGGAAGUCAGAAAUUUGGUGAGCAUCAUGAUUGACUGGGGUGACAUUUGCUAAGCAGGUGGUAAAUGUUAAAAAUGCAUCUCCCACCCACUGUGCCAUCUAUGUCUCAAGUUUAGCACAGCACUGUGUCUCCUGGGCAGUCAUCUACAAUACCUUUCAUCUGCUUCUCUGAUUGUUUCCCGGGCUGCAUCUUUCCUCCAAGACCGCAUUGAAGACAUAUGUGCACUUGAGGAUGUACACUUUUGGAAGCUAUGUAUGUGUGGGUGAGACAGUGAGCACACCUCCGUGUACGUCAUACUUGGUUCUUCAUCAGGAUACAUUCUAAAUUUUUGCCAAUCACACAAGUAAUUUACAUAUUGUUAAUAUUGAAUAAGAAGAAAAAAUCAUCCAAAAUGAUUUCUGCUGCUUUUCCUGAAAUCACUCCCUUAUUUAUAAAGGGAGCUUCAUAUUUCCAUCUUACAACAGUUGGAUAUAUAUAUAUAUAUAUUCAUAUAUAUUAUGACACAUUUGCAUUGAAAACUGUCACAGAUAUGUUCUACCUUUGCAUGAUGAGAAGUGAGAUCUCUCCUAAAACUCUGAGGUCGUCAUCAGAAAGGAAGGCAGGUUGAGUGGGUGAAUGUGUGCCCAGAAUUGACAGGCUCCACCACAUCCUACCCUAGGGCCACAUACUGCCCAAGUUCUCAUGGGUAAUGCGAUGCCAGUUUUGGGUACCUGGCUUAGUCUUUUGGGUAAACCCAUCAGAGUCUACAGAAUCUGUGGCCUAGGCCUUUGGCUGCUUGCCAUGACGUUUUAGUUGAGCUAAAGAGAAGUCACCACAUUCCAUAGACAAUAAUCAUAAGUCUCAGUGAUUACUAAGAAUGUAAUUAUGUGUCAUUUCAGUUAAGGAGUGCACCUUUUAACAUCAAAGUAUUGCCUUAUUUUGUUCAUCAUUCAUAUUUUAUGAACGUCUGUUAUAAGUUUGCAUAUAAAUGUGCCUACACACACACACACACACACACACAAGUUGCAUAUGUAUAGGAUGUAACUAUGAAGCAGUAAAACUUUUCAACAGAUGUACCAAAAAUAGAUAGGAUGCUAGUGUCUUAGGAGCACGGAGACUUCAGAAUUUCUGAUAUGUUAUGUUGCAGGAGAAAGUAGUGUAAUGAAAUGAUAUAAUGUAGGUUUUAUUUUCAUAAACCUAGGUUUGGGAAUGGAUAUUUAGUACUUAAGAUGUUAGGAAAUACACCUUCCAUAUUAGAAUAGCUCAAGUUGGCCUCUUGGCUCCAGCUCCGGACUCAGCCUCUGGGAAUGCAGACCCUAGGAGGGGGUUCUUGCCGCUCAUUUGUGAACCUUGGAUUGCCUUCCCUGCCCUUGCAGGUGUCUGAGGGUGGACCAAUAUAUGGCAGCCCUACCUCUUUCUCAAGUAAAAUGAAACCCAAAUUACCCAGAUUUGAACAUUCGUGUCGCUCUUAAAUGUAACAGUGUGCAGAUAAAUAUCUGCUGGGU